GUCGGCACUCCCCUAGUUUUAGGGAUCGUGGGAGGUAAGGGGUAGCCCGGACCGUUGUGGAGAGGAAGGGGGCAGAGGAAGAGGUGGUGGCCGGCGGCGGCGCCGGUCCGGCCGCACCGCCACGCGGAAGGUCGGUAGGUGGCACGGGAGAGAUGGUCGGCGGCGUAGUGGUGGAGGUUGUGGUGGCGCGGCGACGGUGUCGUGGUUGGUGUAGGUUGCGGAGGGAGGUCGGGCGCGCUGGGACGGAGCGGGACGAAGAAGAAGGGGAGCUGGAGGACGAUGAUGAUGAGGGAGAGAGGUAGCGGAACGACGACGAGACUUAGAGGGAGUGGACGACGACGCGGAAGAGAGAAGGAGGGGAUGGCGACGACGAGUAGAGAGGCGAGGAGGAGGAUUAGAAGAAGGGGUAGGGAUGACGAAGAAGAAGAAGGGAACAGGGCGAAGAGGAGAAGAGGUUCGGGGUGACGACGAGGGAAGAAGAACGCGGGGACGAUGAGGAGGAGGAGGAGAGAGGUAGGGGUGCAAUGGCGACGAAUAAGAACGCUGAAGGACGAGGGAAGCGGAAGGAACGACGAGGGACGGAGAAGAGACUUGGAAAACGACGACGAAUAGAGAGAGAGACUUAAAAGACAUUAACCUCUACACAUCAUGAACAUUCCAAGUCUAAGACUAUUCACAAACGUUGGUUGAUCAAACAAGUCAAGCAUGAACAAUUUAUAGUACAGUAUUUAAGAUACAAGACUUAUCACCUAAAGAACAACGAAACCCUUGAUUGAUUAUACAUGAGAGAGGCAAGGUUUUAUCUACUGAGUUGAAAUAUGAUUGAAACAUGAUUUCAAUCAUAUUUCAACUCAGUAGAUAAAACCUUGCCUCCCUCAUUAUAAAACAACGAAACCAUUAAUCACAAGACAGUCGUAUAUGCACACAAGUGAGACAUAAAGAAGAGCGACAUGAUCAAUUAAAGAUGAUCAUUAAAAAUCAACAAUUUAUGACAGCACAACUAGACACCCAUGAUUAGAACACCGAACAUUCUAAAGCAAAGACAACAGUGAACACAUUGGACUUGGCACCACAUCAUAGGACAAGCGUAUACACACCAAAACACACAAGACAUCAGGGACAUAAUCGAUACAUGGACACUAUAUAUUUACACACACACACAAACUAAACUUUGUUAAUAUAAAACAGUAUAUAAGAGCGAAGAAGGGAGACAAAUACAAACUAUCACUACACAGGAACAGAACAUCGAAAUUAACUAUAACUGAGGACAAACACAAUCAUAACAUCUAAGAGUUCAUUAUGUUUUUAUGAUUUUUCUGUCUAAUUUUUAUUAGAAGUAGAGGGAAACGAAGAAACAGUAAAAGAAACAACUACUAGGAACAACCACAAUCCAAAUAAAAGACAAAAGUAGUAAGUUAACCCAGUGGAUCGAAAUCAGCUUGCAUCAAUCGGCAACGGAUCAGGAACACUUCUUGUGCUGUGAGCGUCAAACCCGCAUUUUGGGGUGAUAUGAAUGUUAACUAGUCAAUACGUACGCACGCGUCGAAAGUGAAAAAAUGGGGCUCCUCAUACACCGGUACUGAUGUUACGAGCUCUUCCAAACCUUUUUCAAGUGACGUGUUCGAGGCCCUGACGGCCCCCUCGACGCUAAAUGUGUGGGUAUUACCAACACCGUCCUUGGGUCCUUAUUAAUGACACCUAUGAUGCAAACGCUCAAGUAUGCGGUGUGCUGUACACUCGCCCGAUGAGAUUUUUGUUAUACUUUACAAAGUCUACACCCUACUUGAGAAUGGUAUUCUAGCGUAUGCUCGUUAAGUUCUCCUUAACCGCCCUAAGAAAGAACUGGUGCAGUAGUUAUUUCUGUCUCUCAUGGUACACCUUGAAAUCAAGUCUACAAUCCCCUAACAUUCUCUAGAAUAUAACAUAUAUAUAUCGGUCAUCACAGCCUAUCUAUAUGCUCUUGAACAACAAGCUGGUUAGAGAGUCUCUUCCUCCCCAACUAGUGAAGAGAGACAUAUACAAGUACUGCUAGAAGACUUAAAUUACCAAAGG
rnacentral:rRNA from 1 species